UGUGCAGUUGUGAUUAUAAAUACAUGACCAAAAUGAAUUGCAUUAUUCAUCAUCAUCAUCUUCUUAUUCAACUGUGUUUGAGAACAUGACAGGGGGAUCUGCACCAGCACAGCAACAGAUGUCGUAUUAUGAUCAUGUUCAGACGCGACACGAGGAGAAAGGAAUCUUCUAUGCUUGUUUGUUUACCCUGUGUUGCUGCUUCUGCUGCUAUGAGAGUUGUGAAUGCUGCUUGGAACGUACCUGUUGUUGCUGUCCCUAGCUACCUAUCCUUAUUACUUUAUCACAUAACCUUGUACUUCGGUUUUAGUUUACUAAACUUGGAUGUUUCUGUUAUCAUAGUUUACCAUUGUCUUAUA